rnacentral:rRNA from 1 species
CAAAGGAGCAAUCCGCUGGGAGAUGGGCUCGCGUCCGAUUAGAUAGUUGGCGGGGUAACGGCCCACCAAGUCAACGAUCGGUAGCCGGACUGAGAGGUUGAACGGCCACAUUGGGACUGAGACACGGCCCAGACUCCUACGGGAGGCAGCAGUGGGGGAUAUUGCACAAUGGGGGAAACCCUGAUGCAGCGAUGCCGCGUGAGUGAAGACGGCCUUCGGGUUGUAAAGCUCUGUCGCAGGGGACGAAAAUGACGGUACCCUGCAAGAAAGCUCCGGCUAACUACGUGCCAGCAGCCGCGGUAAUACGUAGGGAGCAAGCGUUGUCCGGAAUUACUGGGUGUAAAGGGAGCGUAGGCGGGAGGAUAAGUUGAAUGUGAAAUCCAUGGGCUCAACCCAUGGCUGCGUUCAAAACUGUUCUUCUUGAGUGAAGUAGAGGCAGGCGGAAUUCCUAGUGUAGCGGUGAAAUGCGUAGAUAUUAGGAGGAACACCAGUGGCGAAGGCGGCCUGCUGGGCUUUUACUGACGCUGAGGCUCGAAAGCGUGGGUAGCAAACAGGAUUAGAUACCCUGGUAGUCCACGCGGUAAACGAUGAUUACUAGGUGUGGGUGGACUGACCCCAUCC